GACGAACGCUGGCGGCGUGCUUAACACAUGCAAGUCGAACGGAAAGGCCCGGCUUUUGUGGGGUGCUCGAGUGGCGAACGGGUGAGUAACACGUGAGUAACCUGCCCUUGACUUUGGGAUAACUGCAGGAAACUGGGGCUAAUACCGGAUAUGAGCUCCUGCUGCAUGGUGUGGGUUGGAAAGUUUCGGCGGUUGGGGAUGGACUCGCGGCUUAUCAGCUUGUUGGUGGGGUAGUGGCUUACCAAGGCUUUGACGGGUAGCCGGCCUGAGAGGGUGACCGGCCACAUUGGGACUGAGCUACGGCCCAGACUCCUACGGGAGGCAGCAGUGGGGAAUAUUGCACAAUGGGCGGAAGCCUGAUGCAGCAACGCCGCGUGCGGGAUGACGGCCUUCGGGUUGUAAACCGCUUUCGCCUGUGACGAAGCGUGAGUGACGGUAAUGGGUAAAGAAGCACCGGCUAACUACGUG
rnacentral:rRNA from 1 species